rnacentral:tRNA from 1 species
UUCCUUAUGGUCUAGUGGUUAGGAUUUGGCACUUUGACCACUCUUGCCUGGGUUCAAUUCCCAGUCAGGGAA